ACGCAACCUUUCCUCAGACACACACUCCUUUCCUCUACAUUCACCACUAGCAACAGCCUCUGUUGCCUGAAAUUUACAUCCAUGUACAAGCAGCUCCACUACUAGGUGUGGAUGCCCCAGAAUUGCAGCUUCAAAGACACUUGCCCCACCUGCCAAACUCCUGGAGAGUCUGUGAUUAAUGUCAUUGUUCCAGAAGAGGGAGCAAAAAGCAUAUGAAUGAAAUCUGUGGAUGACAGUAAGGAGAUGCUACAAAUGCUACUUGGGACAGAAAUUCAUACAAAUUAAGUCCAAUGAGAUUGUUUUAAAAAUGUGUGCAGGAAGUACCAAAAUGAGAUUUAACUUGGAAAAUGCAACCUGAUACUGUUGAGGAAAAUUCACUGUGAACAGAGAGAGUUAAUAGGUGGGAGAAUCUUGGAAAAGAGGUGCCAGAGCAUUUCAGAGUUGAUCAUGGUAAACGAGUUAGCUGUUCAUAACAAAAUAGGGAAGAAAAGACAUCUAUCGCUAAGAACUGGCCUAAACAGCAAGAAGCCAGCUAGGUCAAAGUUCACCAAGGUGUUAUUCAUCUCCACAUAUCUCCAGGAUGCUAUAUUCAAUGUGAGAUACUUCCUUCCAAACUUGGAAAUUGCACAAAGAAGAAUCAAAGAAAUGCAGAGUUGGAUUUAGGAGGAAACAUUAAAGGUGGAACUGUUCCUGGAAGAAGGUUGGCGGGAUCCAAAAGUCAACUGUGGACCAUGGUCAACAAAGAUUGCGGAAGGCAGAUAAUCGGUUAUGCUUGAAAGGGGCCCGUUUAUGAAACAGCUCCAGUGGUGUCCGUCAGCUCCAAUAGGUGAUGGGUAGCAGGGUCCACCUUUAAGAUCAGAGAAACAGGAAUGAAGAGACUAAUCCCUUCCAAGCUAAAAUUUGGUCUCCUGGGCAGCUGAAGGGAAGGCCCAAACAUGAGAAAAGAUAAUAAAUAAAUGUGACCAGAAAUCAUACAAAAGGCAUAGAGGCUGAGAAUGCUGGCCUACAACUGGGAUCUCAACAAGCCACAGUCAGGUCCCAUGUGAAAAAAUGGACAGAGCCACUGGAUUUGUAUGCUCUCAUAUGAAUGCAGUAUACUCUUGUAUCACCAGCAAUCUUUGCUACUACUGUUUCAAGAACAUCCUCUUUUAAGUGAAACUUCUUUUUCCUUCUCCUCCCUGAAUGUCAUCUUCUUUUUUGUUUUGGCUUUUCCCUUCCCCUUUACUUCCUGCUUUCUGGAAAGAAGUCCUAUCCUUUCUCCUGUUUUAUCGUCUUUUUCUCUUUGCUUUGCAUCUCUCCUACCCACCCCCCCUCCCCUUUUCCACUUUCCUUCCUCUCAUUUCCUAUUCCAAGAGAGAGAUUUCUCAGAAAGAAUGUUAAGUGCACUGUGCAGAACAGCUAAGCACACAAGCACCUGAGCCAAAAGCAACUGGACAGAUUAUCGUCUCCUCCACACAGCCCCCCAGCUCCACUGCACACAGUGGACUAUUGAUUUCACGUAUGCACUAGAUGUUGGUCUGCCUACGAAGAUGGCAAAAGAAUUUGGUUAGACAGCAUUUUAGUUGCGAGCAAAGUUGGAAGUGGUGUUCUCUAAAAGACCAACAUUUAUUCUAACUGGAUUUUUUCCCCCUCAUAUUGUGAGAAGUCAUGAUGGUGUAAUAAUUUUUUUAAAAAGAUUAGCAUAGCUGUUUUGAGAAUUUACAUGAAGAAAGUAUUUGCUUAGGUGUGCUUCUGGUUGAGUCAUUAGAAAUCAAUAAUACUCUAUGUGCUAAAAUUCUGGAAAAUGUCCCUUGCUGAGAGCAUUAUAAAAAGGAUUCACUCUAUAACUAUUCCUUUAAUGACAUAAAAGAAACAUUCUGCAGGCAGAUUAGUAUAAAUCCCUUGUUUAAAGCACAAUGAGCAAUAUUUAUACCUCCAAUCAGGUGGCUAACUCAAGUCAGGAACAAAAUCAGAUUUCUUUUUUUAAAACUGAGGAAGAGGAUUUUCCACGGGUUCCCCCUAAUAAAUUCCACU